UCACUUGUGCUAAAAUAAGAUUUUUGAAGUGAAAAAUUAUUUUGUUGGAAGCUAGAUUCAGUCAAACUGUGAUUCUUUUAGACUUAAGUUUUGCUUUGAUGUAAUGGUUAACACGUCAUUGUAUAGUUAGACCAGGCUAGAAGUAUUGCUCAGAGGUGGCAGUGAACUCAGGAGGUCAAAGUGAUAAACACCCAGAAGGCACACAGUUGUGAAUUCCUGAUACUCUGACUGAUGAAGUGGCUCUUAGGCCAAGGCUGUGCAUUGGCAGUAUAGUGGGGAAUGACAAAGAAGAAUUUUUUUUUUUCACUUUUGAGUCUCUAUCUUCCUCUAGUCUUCUAUCUUCACUUUUGAGUCUCUAUCUUCCUCUAAAUUAGUUAAAAUUUUACAGUGGCAAUGUUUUCAUUUAUUAUCUGUGCAACUUUUUAACAGGCGUAAGUUAAGGAAACAGGACUCUGCAGUUGUAGACAUUUGGGACUAAGAAUGUGUUACAGUUUUACAGGAUGAUGACUCGUGUCACCCAGAGGAAAAGCAUUGAGACCUCCAUGUGGCUGAUGAAUGGAAGGGAAGCCAUUCACACUCAGGCAAAAGAUCACCUGAAUGACCUUGGACAAGUUAAUUAACCUCUCUGGGCCUCAGCAAAAUGAGGGAUAAUAAUACUCAACUAACACAAGUUGUUAUGAAGAUCAGCAGGUAAUCAGUUUGGAUCCUAUCUCACAAUGGUCCUUGGCAUUUGGCUGAAAUGGUGGCUCCCAUCAAUCAUAAUGAAGAGGAUGGAAUAAAUCUACUGGCUACUUCAUAUAUAAGGUCCUCAAUGCCUUGAAGACAUUCAGUUAUCUUGGAUACUUAGAAUUUUACAAAGCAUUCAAACAUUCAUGAGCAGUAAGUAAAAUAAUAUAGUGUGCUUCUGAGAAUAUUUCUAAUCCAUGAUCUGUUUAUUGGAAGAGAAUAUGUAUCAUAUUAAAGUUUAAGCUUCUGCCUGACUAGGACUCCUUAUAAAGCAUCCACCUCUGACUCAGGCAGUAUCUGUUAAAUUUAAAUAUCUGUUUAAUUUGGUUCUCCUCACCCUUAGCUAUAAAUUAGCCAACUCA